rnacentral:rRNA from 1 species
AAUACGUAGGUGGCGAGCGUUGUCCGGAAUUACUGGGUGUAAAGGGCGUGUAGGCGGGGAUACAAGUCAGAUGUGAAAUACCGUGGCUUAACCACGGGGCUGCGUCUGAAACUGUAUUUCUUGAGUGUCGGAGAGGAAAGUGGAAUUCCCAGUGUAGCGGUGAAAUGCGUAGAUAUUGGGAGGAACACCAGUGGCGAAGGCGACUUUCUGGACGAUAACUGACGCUGAGGCGCGAAAGCGUGGGGAGCAAACAGG